AGAGUUUGAUCCUGGCUCAGAACGAACGCUGGCGGCGUGGAUAAGACAUGCAAGUCGAACGGGAUUUUCUUUGGUAGCAAUACCGAAGAAGGUCUAGUGGCGAACGGGUGCGUAACACGUGGGCAAUCUGCCUUAAAGUGGGGGAUAGCUCGGCGAAAGCCGAAUUAAUACCGCAUGUGAUCAGGGGAGACAUCUUCCCGAAAUCAAAAGUGGCGCAAGCUACUGCUUUUUGAGGAGCCCGCGGCCUAUCAGCUAGUUGGUGAGGUAACGGCUCACCAAGGCUUUGACGGGUAGCUGGUCUGAGAGGACGACCAGCCACACUGGGACUGAGACACGGCCCAGACACCUACGGGUGGCAGCAGUCGAGAAUUUUUGACAAUGGGGGAAACCCUGAUCGAGCGACGCCGCGUGGAGGAUGAAGGUCUUCGGAUUGUAAACUCCUGUCAUUUGGGAACAAGGUGCACACGUUAACUGCGUGCGUAUUGAUAGUACCAGAAGAGGAAGGGACGGCUAACUCUGUGCCAGCAGCCGCGGUAAUACAGAGGUCUCAAGCGUUGUUCGGAUUCAUUGGGCGUAAAGGGUGCGUAGGCGGCGCGGUAAGUCGGGUGUGAAAUCUCGGAGCUUAACUCCGAAACUGCAUUCGAUACUGCCGUGCUUGAGGACUGGAGAGGAGACUGGAAUUUACGGUGUAGCGGUGAAAUGCGUAGAUAUCGUAAGGAAGACCAGUGGCGAAGGCGGGUCUCUGGACAGUUCCUGACGCUGAGGCACGAAGGUCAGGGGAGCAAACGGGAUUAGAUACCCUAGUAGUCC
rnacentral:rRNA from 1 species